UCACAGGUGACUUUGUUUCUUCAUCUAAUCAUGAUUCCCAAGACAUUGGCCAGAUUUUUACUUUCCUGCAAGACAUUCAGAAUGAUAUUAUAUAUGCCAAAGUAAAAAUCUUCAGAGCAAAUGCUUGUCCAGGACUUGCAGGAAAAAGCUUGGUUUACUUGGAAACUUCAGAGAUGUGGAAUAUUUGUCAUUUAUCACAAGUACAGAAAGUUCAUGAAUAUACUUUCUAC